rnacentral:lncRNA from 1 species
AUACGAUGGUGAAAAGGCAUUAAAAAUUACGUCACAUUAGAAUAACACAUAAAUGUAAGGGAGCUACCAUUUGAUUUUUAGGGGGGGGGGGGGGGGGGGGGCUAGGAUGAAAUUUGAAAAAAAUAGGCAGGACAGGAGUUUUGAGUAAAAAAAAAGGCAGGAUGAGACACUUGCAAAAAAAAAAAGUCAGGACGACAAUUAAAGUAAAAAAAAGUCAGGAUAAACUAAAAAAAAAAAAAGGCAGGACCGAACAGAGGGAAAAAUAAAAAGGCAGGACAGAGAUUACAGCUAAAAAAAAUGUAGGACAAAAUUUUUCAUCAUUGC